UGCUUUCUCUUUACAGAAGUCAACCAGAUAUCACCUACAGAUGGAGUUUCUGCUAUUCAUGAUUCAAAAGAUGAUAUAACACCAACCGAAAAGAAUCCUUCUAGGAUGUAUUUUGCAAUCCUUCCAGUAAUUGCUCUUCUUCUGGUUGUGGGUGUACUUAGGAAUCUAAAACAAAGAAAGGAUAGGAAAGCAGCCACUCAAGCACUCAACCACCCCUGAGGACAUCAACUGAGGAAGUUGUGUCAUAAAGCCUGUGUCGACAACAGUUGUUUCCCAACAUUCAAAUAAAAUAGAGGUUAGAUGACUUUAAUCCCUGCAAGUUUUAACUUGCUGAUUCUAACUGAUUCUAACAACAGGUGAAUCAUACUGAUGAUCUGAACGUAGUCAUUGGUUCUGACAUAAGCUUUGAAUUCCUCUCGGUCUUCCAUAUAUUUAAUUAAUACAUAGUCAAAACAAAUCUAUUCCCAACUUUUCUCAGAAAUAUCACUUUGUUUUACUCUGAUUUUAUUUUCAUAUUUAUAGAUGUGGUUAUUAUUAAUUAAUAGAUAUUACUUAUGGUUCUGACAUUUUCUCAGAAAAUAAUAUUCAGCAAGAUUGUUAUAUCUUUAUUUGUUAAUGAACAACAUCUGUGAUAAUGUGAGUUUUACUGUGAUUGUAUCAUGUUUUACUUUAAUUCCAUGUUAAGUUGAUAUAAACAGGAUAUUGUUCUUUUACUUUUACUUUGCAUUGAAACUACCUUUUUCAAGACAUGAGCCCUUAAUUAUCCCUUAGUGCCUAAUAAGGAUUAUAUUUUUGAUUCAUUUUUACAGAUGAUUUUGAGCAAUUUGGAACAUGACUCCAUUAACACUGCACUGAUGAUAUGCGCUAAUAAUAAUUGAUAUAACUAUUUCAAAUGUGAACUUUAUUACAUUCUUUAAGAAAAACUGCUGAUUCAUCCCAUUGGUUAAAAUAAGAGUGUAGAAAAUGUGACUGAAAGGGUCAGUGAAGUCCUGCAAGGGAAACCUGGUAAAGACUCUUCCUUCUGCUCAGUGAUGAACUAUCAACGCCCCUUAUACCCCAAUAUAUGUGGUAGUGACAGUUUUUAUUUCUGCUUUUCCAUUUUUUAAGGGGUUCUGUUCUCUGU